UUGCACUCUCCAUCUCCCACAGAAAGAAAAUCAAACACACUUCUCCCCCAACUCUCUAACGAUCGAUCAUCCUUCUCCAAUGCUGAGGGAAAAGUUCUUCACCAACGCUCUGCAGCAACAAAGGGUGUUUAAGUUGUGGGUGUAAUUACUUAAAACUCUUUCUUGUACAACCCAAGGAGUUUGAGAGGGUACCAGUGCUGUUGCGGAUUCAUGUUUAGCUAAGAGGGGCGAAGGUACCAUAGCUACUUGGUUAACUUGCAGGACGGUGCUUAAUUUCCCAGUGCUCAGAAAGCUUGCGUUCAGGCUUCUUUCCCGUCUUAUCAGAAAUAAGGUAAUAUGGAAGAAAAGAGAUGCACUGUAGCGAAGAGGACAAGGGCUCAAACAAAGCAUCAAUUGAAGGAAAUGAUUGAUGAGUACUAUGAGAAGAAGCAGGAGAAGAAAGGGAAAAGUGAGAGAGCCCAUGACUCUCAUGAAAUGAACGCUACUGAGGGGAAAAAGAGGGAAGAAUUGGAGUCAGGUAUAGUCACAAGAAAUUUCGAAGAAAUGGUUAGAAUUAGCAGCAGUAGCAAUGAUGAAGAGCAAGAGGGGGAAAAUGUGAACCGGAAGAUGUUCAAUAGAAAGAGGAAGCGAACUGUUAAAAAGAUCUUCUACGAUGAUGAGAGUAGUGGAAGUGAUGUUAAGAUUUUGGGGGAAGAGGAAGUGGUGGAAGAAGUGAAC